rnacentral:ncRNA from 2 species
CCGCCUCGCUAGGGGUCCUCGCGCAUGUGCGCGGGGUGAGAAAUACCCUCCGAACCUGAUCUGGAUAAUGCCAGCGAAGGAAAGCGUAGAUGGUUGAAG